UACGGGAGGGGCAAGCGUUGUUCGGAAUUACUGGGCGUAAAGGGCUCGUAGGUGGUCAACUAAGUCGGACGUGAAAUCCCUCGGCUUAACCGGGGAACUGCGUCCGAUACUGGAUGACUUGAGUUCGGGAGAGGGAUGCGGAAUUCCAGGUGUAGCGGUGAAAUGCGUAGAUAUCUGGAGGAACACCGGUGGCGAAGGCGGCAUCCUGGACCGACACUGACGCUGAGGAGCGAAAGCCAGGGGAGCAAACGGG
rnacentral:rRNA from 1 species